UAAGCAUAGCAUCAAGUGAAUUCUUGCAAAUAGUCAAUUGGUCCAAAUCAUUUAGUUGAGUAAGAGAAGACUUUUAUUCAAGUGGGUCAAGAGGUUCAAAAAUCCAUGAUCUUUUAAAGUGGUUUACUCUCAAAACAAGUAGCCUUGACAUUGCACAUAAUAUAUCUAAGAAAGAGACCAACCCAUGCAUACAAUGCUCAAUCUCCAUUGUUCUACCAUUUUCCCAAAUAUACAGGUUACACAAUCACUUCCCAAUGCCAAACUCAACUCCCAUCUCUCACCAAAAGAUCCCAAGAAUACUUUGCAACUAAAACUCUUUUUCUUUGA
rnacentral:lncRNA from 1 species